rnacentral:tRNA from 1 species
GGAUUGUGGCUCAGUGGUAGAGCACUUGCCUAGCCGGGUACAAGGCCCUGGGUUCGAUCCUCAGCACCA